rnacentral:rRNA from 1 species
AGUGAACGCUGGCGGUAGGCCUAACACAUGCAAGUCGAGCGGCAGCACAGGAGAGCUUGCUCUCUGGGUGGCGAGUGGCGGACGGGUGAGGAAUACAUCGGAAUCUACUUUUUCGUGGGGGAUAACGUAGGGAAACUUACGCUAAUACCGCAUACGACCUACGGGUGAAAGCAGGGGAUCUUCGGACCUUGCGCGAUUGAAUGAGCCGAUGUCGGAUUAGAUAGUUGGCGGGGUAAAGGCCCACCAAGGCGACGAUCCGUAGCUGGUCUGAGGGAAUGAUCCGCCACACUGGAACUGAGACACGGUCCAGACUCCUACGGGAGGCAGCAGUGGGGAAUAUUGGACAAUGGGCGAGAGCCUGUUCCAGCCAUACCGCGUGGGUGAAGAGGGCCUUCGGAUUGUAAAGCCCUUUUGUUGGGAAAGAAAUCCAGCUGGUUAAUACCCGGUUGAGAUGACGGUACCAAAAGAAUAAGCACCGGCUAACUUCGUGCCAGCCGCCGCGGUAA